UACAGAGGUCUCAAGCGUUGUUCGGAUUCAUUGGGCGUAAAGCGCACGUAGGCGGUGCAGCAAGUCAGGGGUGCAAGCUCCAGGCCUAACCUGGAAACUGCCUCUGAAACUACUGUGCUUGAGGGUCAGAGGGGAAACUGGAAUUCACGGUGUAGCGGUGAAAUGCGUAGAUAUCGUGGAGAACACCGGUGGCGAAGGCGGGUCUCUGGGCCGACAUUGACGCUGAGGAGCGAAAGCGUGGGGAGCGAACAGG
rnacentral:rRNA from 1 species